rnacentral:rRNA from 1 species
AACGAACGCUGGCGGCAUGCCUAACACAUGCAAGUCGAACGAGACCUUCGGGUCUAGUGGCGCACGGGUGCGUAACGCGUGGGAACCUGCCCUUAGGUUCGGAAUAACUCCCCGAAAGGGGUGCUAAUACCGGAUAAUGUCUUCGGACCAAAGAUUUAUCGCCUUUGGAUGGGCCCGCGUUGGAUUAGCUAGUUGGUAGGGUAAAAGCCUACCAAGGCGACGAUCCAUAGCUGGUCUGAGAGGAUGAUCAGCCACACUGGGACUGAGACACGGCCCUGACUCCUACGGGAGGCAGCAGUGGGGAAUAUUGGACAAUGGGCGAAGGCCUGAUCCAGCAAUGCCGCGUGAGUGAUGAAGGCCUUAGGGUUGUAAAGCUCUUUUACCCGGGAUGAUAAUGACAGUACCGGGAGAAUAAGCUCCGGCUAACUCCGUG